rnacentral:rRNA from 1 species
GACGUAGGGCGCGAGCGUUGUCCGGAUUUAUUGGGCGUAAAGAGCUCGUAGGCGGUUUGUCGCGUCUGCUGUGAAAACGCGAGGCUCAACCUCGCGCCUGCAGUGGGUACGGGCAGACUAGAGUGCGGUAGGGGAGAUUGGAAUUCCUGGUGUAGCGGUGGAAUGCGCAGAUAUCAGGAGGAACACCGAUGGCGAAGGCAGGUCUCUGGGCCGAUACUGACGCUGAGGCGCGAAAGCGUGGGGAGCAAACAGG